GUUCUUUGUUGUGGGUGUUUUCAGCUGUCAUGCAUAUGCUUUCUGCAUUGCUUGAAAAAGUAAAGCCAGAGGAAACCCUGAUCGCUCAAGGAAGUAGCAGACAUGUUCCAUGGUUGCCAGAGUUUGUUUCUAAGGUUGGACUUGAAAUAAUUAGAAACCAGUUUUUGAGUAUCAAUGGCACAGAGGAACAAAAAGAUUUUGAUGAAAGUGGCA
rnacentral:misc_RNA from 1 species